rnacentral:rRNA from 1 species
UACGGAGGAUGCAAGCGUUAUCCGGAAUGAUUGGGCGUAAAGCGUCCGCAGGUGGCGAUGUAAGUCUGCUGUUAAAGAGUGAGGCUCAACCUCAUAAAAGCAGUGGAAACUACAUAGCUAGAGUACGUUCGGGGCAGAGGGAAUUCCUGGUGUAGCGGUGAAAUGCGUAGAGAUCAGGAAGAACACCGGUGGCGAAGGCGCUCUGCUAGGCCGUAACUGACACUGAGGGACGAAAGCUAGGGGAGCGAAUGGG